rnacentral:rRNA from 1 species
UUGUCUUUACUGACGCUGAGGCACGAAAGCGUGGGGAGCAAACAGGAUUAGAUACCCUGGUAGUCCACGCCGUAAACGAUGAGUACUAAGUGUCGGGUUAAACCGGUACUGAAGUUAACACAUUAAGUACUCCGCCUGGGUAGUACGUACGCAAGUAUGAAACUUAAAGGAAUUGACGGGACUCCGCACAAGCGGUGGAUCAUGUUGUUUAAUUCGAAGAUACCCGAAAAACCUUACCAGGUCUUGACAUGUUUUUGCGAAACGGUAGUAAUAUCGUAGAGGUUAUCAGAAACACAGGUGGUGCAUGGUUGUCGUCAGCUCGUGUCGUGAGAUGUUAGGUUAAGUCCUAAAACGAGCGAAACCCUUAUCGUUAGUUGCCAGCACGUUAUGGUGGGGACUUUAACGAGACUGCCAGUGAUAAACUGGAGGAAGGUGAGGAUCACGUCAAAUCAGCAUGCCCCUUAUGACCUGGGCUACAAACGUGAUACAAUGGCUGUUACAAAGGGUAGCUGAA